GACAGAGGGUGCAAACGUUGCUCGGAAUUACUGGGCGUAAAGCGCGUGUAGGUGGAUUGGUGUGUCAGAUGUGAAAUCCCUGGGCUCAACCCAGGAACUGCACCUGAAACUACCAGUCUUGAGUGGUGGAGAGGGAAGUGGAAUUCCUGGUGUAGCGGUGGAAUGCGCAGAUAUCAGGAGGAACACCGGUGGCGAAGGCGGGUCUCUGGGCAGUAACUGACGCUGGAGGAGCGAAAGCCGUGGGGAGCGAACAGG
rnacentral:rRNA from 1 species